CGCCCCGCCUCCCUCUCCUCUUCCUCUUCCCCUAGCGCCGCCGCACCCGCGCCUCCCUCUCCCCCUAGCGUCGCCCGCACCCGCGCAUCCCUCUCCACCUAUCGCCCCUAACGCCGCCACCAUUGCCUCCUUCCCCAUCGCCGACUGGCCUCCUCCCCUCACGUUCUCCUCCUUCCACCCUUCCGAUCUGGCACCGCCCAAACCCUAACGCCCCGGCCCGGCCCCGGCUCCCACAAGAGGGAAGGAGAAAUGGCGAGGCGAGGCAAAGCCGCGCCCUAGACUGACCAGUAGGCCUCCGCCAAGGCCGCGCCCAAGGCUGACCAGUAGGCCAUGGUCACCAAGCGCCCACACAAGGGAACCACGUCGGGGAAGAAGAAGUCGGCGCCCAAGUCCGUUGCUGCCGCACGCCCUCUCUAGCCGCCUCUCAUCAUCCUCAUGUUCGGCAGAAGGAGGACGAGGACGUUGAGCGGACAUGGGCUAUCACUCUCUCCGCGGGCGAGCUCGAGCGCUACAGCAUUAGCGAGGACCUCCGCGAGUUCGUCAACGGCAUGACCGUAAUCACCUUCCGUGACUUCCCCCUUGCAAGGUACUGUUUACUCGUGGUUCAGUUUUGGGGACUCGAAGCGCUGGAUUGACUGAUGACAUGAUUUUGUUUGCACAGAUGAGUUGGAGCCGUCGGAGUGUCCACGGUGUUGAAUGUGCCUCAGCAUCUGAACGAAUGGCAGGCUAGGCAUACCACUCACGUCCUCUCGCCCGUCAGGAUUUUGUUUCCGUUAACCAUUUCAGUCAUGGGAGAUUUGGUUUAUGUGGCUCUCCAUCGAUGGAAUGCCGAUGAAUGCACAUAUGAACAUACAUACAUAGUUCUGUUUUGCUUUAGAAUUCAGUGUCAGAAAACUCUAUGGAGGUUGCUGAUUUGGAGUUCAGCUAGGGAUGCUCUAAAUUGCAUGGUUGUUGCUUGAUGUGGAAUAUGCAACUGGAACCGGCGACCAGCCCUUCCUCGCCCUCAGCCUUAACACCACCACUGACGCCUCCAGGAGUAGUUGGGCAUUGCCGGUGGCACCGGCAAGGCAAUGGUUGUGGUUAGGCUUUAGUGCCAGGUUCCUCACAGUUGUAGCUGUUGGGGAACACUGCUAUGCUCGCUGUCCGGUGGUGGGGUUUGGGCAUGCCACUGGUGCUCCUGCGGAUUGGCAUGGAUGCCUCCGCGCUCGGAGUCUGCUCUAUCUACGGGUUCCUAGGUGUUGUCAUAUGCUCCAGAUUUUAUAUGGCCCAUUGUAUAAGAUGCAAUUUGGAUUAUUAAUCUGGAACAACUAUAUCAUGGAGGUGUUGUUUAAGGUUCCCUUGCUAAUUUUAUCUUAAGCUGCAGUUCUGCAUCUAUGGGUAAGAUAAUCUAUGCAGUGCAUUUGCCAUACAAUACCAAGCAAAUUCAUUUGCAUUUGCAGCUAUGGACGAACCCUUCUUUUUGUUCUCAUGUUAGUGUUAGAGCAGCUGCAUUUCCCUGUGCUCAACGCUGCAUCGCUCAGUUCAUUUUCUUGGUUCCUUUGCUCGGCGUAGGAAGUUAGGAGACCAUCAACCGUAAGGAGGAGUAAUAAAAAGAAGUUCAGAAGCCAAGGACCAUAUUCAACCUGAUUUUAGGCAUCCUCAAGUAAAGAAGCUUGAGGUGGCACAAAGGUCAAUAGGCGGCAUUUCAGUAGAGCUUGAUCCUGUGGAUUCUCCUGAACUGAAGCUUACUGAUAAAACAGAGCUUUCUAUGCUUGAAAGGGUUUUGCCAAUUUACAAGACCCAUAUGCGUCUCUCUCUGCAAAUUGCCUAUUUAGUAUUCCAAAUUUCAGUCAACUAUCAUACUGGAGAAGCGGCGGCGGAUAUUUAUUCAUGUUGGA